UUAUGGAUAUAUUGCUUUAAGGACAUCAACAACCACACACCAUUCAUAUACUGAGAAUGAGUUAAUAAGCUCUAUCAUCACAAAUUAAUAAUCCAUUGCCAACCAAAAUCAAUUAUUUUAUUCCCAUUCAAUGAAACAGCUCCAUCAACAACACAAUUUUGUCAUUUUUAAUAGUCAUAUAAUACAAAUCAGAGCAUGGAUUUAACUUUAGAAUUACAAAAUUUGUAAGAACUCUAUAAAAGCCAUGAAAAGAAAGCUCUUCUUGAUUGUCCAUAACAUAGUGGGAAAAGUAGUGAAAAUUUUUUUUGCAGUACCUUUGGCAAUUAAGAAUUAAGAACCUCCAUUAUAAUGAGUACUUAACUAAAGAGAUGCAAGUUUGCUGCCAUAACAAGCAAAAUAGGAUGACCAAAAUCUUCCAAAUUUCAAUUCCAUCCUUUUCAUUGGUUGUCAGCAACUUAAUGAAAAUGUAAAAAGCAAAUAGAAAUGGUACACGAAUGACAAUCCAAAAGGUUGUAAAGAUAUUUGACCCGCUUGAAAAGAUCAGCACCCAUCCUCCAUUAACUAGAAGCGAACUUCCUUUUCAAAUUUAAUACACAUAUGCACUUCAAAAAUCGGGGGAGUAAAGAAGCGGCAAAUAUUAACAGAAUUCUGCCUUGAUGAUGAAAACUCACAACUCACAAGCAAAACCGAUGAGGCCCCCCAUAAGUUUACUAACAAUAAAAGAAAAUCAAAGCCAGGCUCCUCUCUUUCCAAACAACAGAAAUUCAAUCCUCAACUUUCUAAAGCUCUCCUUUUUCCAGCCUUCCCUCCACCCAAACAGUAUCCAAUUAACACAAAAUCCACCAAUCAAACAUGCACGUAAGGCUAACACAAAAUAACAACACCCGUCAAAACAUCAAACAAACCAAUCCUAAAAUUCAAAUACACUUUCCAAUUCUAACACUAACCCACGAACAAAAAAAAA